ensembl:lncRNA
AUGUGCUUUUUAUGACACUUCACAUUUACAUUCUAUAUGAUUAUAGAAAAAGUACAGUAACGAUAAUAACUCAGAAUUUUUAAAAGGAUUAGUCUGAAGUGAAUUCUUAGUCAUAGUCCCUUUCAGAAAAGGAAAUUUGUCCAGGGUUAUAAGACAGAUCGACCAUCUCAAGCCAUAGAGCAAUCACUACUCUAGUUUGUAUGCUACUCUUACAACACUGAGUAAAGAAAACAACAGUUAGUUUGAAUAUUAUGACCAGUACAAGGAUUCCAAAUAAUGGAAAUAAGAAUUCCAAUCCGGAUCGAAAAAGGGAACUGAUACUGAAAAGGGAGCCAACGAAACAAAUCAAACUAGGUGCAGGAUCGCAUAAGGCAUCCACCUGCUUCUUCAUGUGCUUUAGCGGAGAGGACACAUUGGAAGAUUCAUGACCUAUAAAAGCACAGCAUCCAGUCUGAAUGAUUGUAUAUGUACCACCUUGGGAUGCAGUAAUAAUGUCUAAAGCCAUUCUGUUUUGAAGGACAGCCCUUCUCAUUAAACACAUUUCAGUAUUUGAAUAACGUUAUUCCUGCUUGACUAUCAUUAAGGGCUUCUUGAGUAAAUUUAGUCAGAGCUUCCAAAUGUAAUAAUGACAUCUUUUAGCCCCAAAGAAGAAGCAAAUAUAGUUGAAAAUGUAGCCAUACCAGUGGAACACUGAACAAGCCCAUUUGGCCUUAAAGAGAGGGAGACUGACACCAGGUUUUAACUCAGCCUGACUCCUUCCCUGCUUUUAAAGGAAACUCAGGGUGAAGUGUUUUAGCCAUCCAGGCAGUAGCCAAGGCCAAAGAUUUGUUCCACAUAACCAUUGAGUUCCAUUAGGAGUUACUUAUAAAUUCCUGGCCUUCAAGACCAGUCUAUUCCAAAUUAAUCACUUUAAGUAUGAUAGCAUUUCAAACAAAUUAUAAAAUAGGUAUACAGUUUAAGCAUAACAAAUGUUUAAAUGAGGAGGUAUAAGGUUGGGAAUACAGGCCUGGUCCGGAGUCUUGGGACAGCUGUCUACAAAAGAUGUCGUCUUCUUCUCCUCCUGGUUUGGUCCUUUUCAACAGGGCUGCAAAGAGUCUUAUUUGAUGUCUCUUUCAAUAAAUAAAUUCUUCAGGUUACAGUCCAUGAUCCUUAAGUUCUGGGACUUCUCUGUGAAAGACUCAGCUACAAAUCUUUCAUUUCUUUUAAGCACCACAAUAAGACCAUGAAAACCAUGUAAUACGUCCCUUAAGCAAAGCUGGUUCAUAUAUUUCUUCAUUUAAUUGCGUAGGCUGUUAUAUUAUUUAAAAAGGAGACAGCCGAUGUUUACAAAAAGUAUAAUCUAAGAUCAAAGAGCACUAGCAUAAGAGCUUUUGGCAGUGAGAGAGUAAAUGCUUCUGAAAGCUUGUCAAUUAAGUUCUAGUUGUGCCAUUAGUUUUACCAGUCCUGAGGAUCGAGGAUGGUAAGCGCAGUGGAAAUGCUGCAAUAUUGGCCAAACAUUACAAACAGAUUUGAGUUCCCCAGUCACUAUGUAACUCAGUAGGAAUUCCCCAAAGAGGAAUUAUCCUCUCUAAUAGUAAUUUACCUACUGUUAAAGCCAUUGCUCUUCUGCAAGGAAAGGCCUCAAAACAAUGUGAGAACAUGCAGAUCAUUACAAGACAUAUUUAUCCUUGAGAUGGUGGCAUUUGGACAAUGUCCAAUUGUCAUACCUCAAAGGGUACCUUAGGAAGGGAAAGUGGCCUUGUGACCCAAGGAGUGGGUUUCUUAUUGGGCCCAAACCACAUCUGCGAGGGGGUGUCAAAAAUUCCCCCUUUUGACUGCCAUAUCUGUUUAUCUUGUUCUGUGGCAAUUUCUUGAGCCGGUAGAAGGAAAUCUUUUACUGAGUUAGCAGAGUUAACAGAAAGUAGCAGGCAUUCUUGAGGCUGGACAGCACAUCCAGCUUGAUAACAUCCUCACUUAUCAUUUAAGUAAGACUCAUUUGUAAACCAAAUUAAACAAUAGAUUGUGGUCCUGGUCUUCUCUCCCUUGUGAUGUUGGAAGCAAGGUAACAAGGUUAAUGGUUAGAGCAAAUUAUAAAUUAGUUCCUGCGUCCAGGGGGCAGGUAGUCAAGAAGACUUCUAGAUGUCAGAGUCAAAGCAUCUUUUGUAGCUUGAAAGGUCUCUGAUGAUGUCAUCGGGCAUUCAGGUAUCUUUUUGAGUGGCUUACAGCGUACACGGCAACAGAUAGGAAUCUCUCUUAAGUUUCUAUUAAGUCGUUCAGCUUUAGUUUGCAAGGUUUCAGGAAAAAGAGCAGGUUCAAUUCUCAAUGAUUCCAAAUGAAAAUGAGGGAGAAAAUUGAAAGCAUUCGUUUGGAGAUUUGUAACCAAAUAUUUCAGCAGAAUUGAGGGUCCGGUACAGUUCACAGGUAGAAAAAAAAAGCCUCAAAGACAAUUAACAGAACUAGGAUCCAACAUCCACAAAUAUGUAUUUUAGUUUCUCACUGGAGCAUAAUUCUUCUCUCUAAAAUCACCCUCAUUUUUACCAAAGAUAGCCAAAUUAAGACUAAUUGGUUUGCAAAAUAAGUUUAGUUUCAAGAAACUUGGCCUGGUUAUUUACAUAAGUGCAGCAAGAAUAGCAGUUGAUCAUAUAGGCGCUUAAGUCUGCUUUGCUGGAAUUUUUUUAUGAGGAAUCUCAGAUUGAACUUUAAAGACCUCUCGAGGCCAGGAAAGCCAAGCCAAGGACUUGCCGUCAGAUUUUGCCUGCAGUACCUACAGAUUUGGGUGGAUUCUUCUCUUCUUGAGGUCCCCCAAAAUAUUCCGAGGUACUGCAGGCAAAAUCUGACGGCAAGUCCUUGGCUUGGCUUUCCUGGCCUCGAGAGGUCUUUAAAGUUCAAUCUGAG